rfam:Ciona savignyi cont_50418, whole genome shotgun sequence.
GAGGGAUUAUGACUGAACGCCUCUAAGUCAGAUCCCAGCCUGGAUAGCGACGAUGCAUUCGUGCCUCGGCCUCGAGAGGCGUAGCUAGACGGCCGCGUGCCCGUGGAAAGAGCCCGAUUCCGACCCGAGAGGCCGCGGCAAGAGGCGGCCUCGAAGUCGGUGGAUCCUCCUGCUCGAAAGGCGGGGUGCUAAACCAUUCGCAGACGACCUAGUUGAAGAUCGGGGUGUCGUGAUCACUAGAGCAGUACAUCUCACUGCGAUUUGUUGAGAGUAAGCCUCAAGAUCUGUCGGUUUGU